rnacentral:rRNA from 1 species
AGUGAACGCUGGCGGUAGGCCUAACACAUGCAAGUCGAACGGCAGCACAGUAAGAGCUUGCUCUUACGGGUGGCGAGUGGCGGACGGGUGAGGAAUACAUCGGAAUCUACUUUUUCGUGGGGGAUAACGUAGGGACACUUACGCUAAUACCGCAUACGACCUACGGGUGAAAGCAGGGGAUCUUCGGACCUUGCGCGUUUGAAUGAGCCGAUGUCGGAUUAGCUAGUUGGCGGGGUAAAGGCCCACCAAGGCGACGAUCCGUAGCUGGUCUGAGAGGAUGAUCAGCCACACUGGAACUGAGACACGGUCCAGACUCCUACGGGAGGCAGCAGUGGGGAAUAUUGGACAAUGGGCGCAAGCCUGAUCCAGCCAUACCGCGUGGGUGAAGAAGGCCUUCGGGUUGUAAAGCCCUUUUGUUGGGAAAGAAAAGCAGCAGGUUAAUACCCCGCUGUUCUGACGGUACCCAAAGAAUAAGCACCGGCUAACUUCGUG